rnacentral:rRNA from 1 species
CUACGGGGGGCUGCAGUGAGGAAUAUUGCACAAUGGGGGGAACCCUGAUGCAGCAACGCCGCGUGGAGGAUGACACUUUUCGGAGCGUAAACUCCUUUUAUAUAGGAAGAAGAUGACGGUACUAUAUGAAUAAGCGCCGGCUAACUCCGUGCCAGCAGCCGCGGUAAUACGGAGGGCGCAAGCGUUACUCGGAAUCACUGGGCGUAAAGAGCGUGUAGGCGGAUUAAAAAGUCAGAAGUGGAAUCCUAUAGCUUAACUAUAGAACUGCUUCUGAAACUCUUAAUCUAGAAUAUGGGAGAGGUAGAUGGAAUUUCUGGUGUAGGGGUAAAAUCCGUAGAGAUCAGAAGGAAUAUCGAUUGCGAAGGCGAUCUACUAGAACAUUAUUGACGCUGAGACGCGAAAGCGUGGGGAGCAAACAGGAUUAGAUACCCGGGUAGUC